CCGUUUAGUUUUCUUCUUAAAUAAAAACGGCUGUGAAAGGAACCUAUGCUGCUACUGAUGAAACUGAUUCAUCAAGGAGAAGAUGGUAUUCACAGGGGGAUGAAUUGAUGGAAAGUCAAAUUGAAGAUGAUUACAGAAAUCAUAUGGUAAAGCUGUAAAACUUGGUUAGAUGUUCGUGCUUUUCGAUUCCCUUACGAGUUAAUCUCAUACGGUAAUGUUCUUCACUUCUAUGAGAUGCUUUGGUGGGUUGGAUUUUGUGGAAGGAUGGGUUUGUUGUAAUUGUGUUUUAGUGAUAAUUAUAUUGGAACUGACUUGCCGAUACAAUAAUGUGUUUUUAUGUGAAAUAUGUAAGUGCACAUCAAGUGUUCGAUAGUUUGUUGGUAAGAAAAAAAGUAUUGGUUUUAGUGAUAAUAGUAAAAAUGAGCUGCUGUGAUCGCAGGGAAUUCGAUUUGUUGGUGUAACUAAAUUAGGUUCUUAGUACGUCGCUGAUGGCUUUGCACAGGGAUGUAGCACCAGCAAGUUCAACUUACACUUAUCAAGGCUGCAAAUGAUCCUUUGAUCGUUAGAGUGGCCUCCUACUCUGGCUUGGCAAAAAUUACAAAAUUGGAACGAUAUGUAUACUAAGUUAUCUGUUAAAUUGAUGGGGCCAUUCAGAGUUGGUAGCAAAAAUGGGAGGAAGCAGUUGUAGUUGCGGUCUGCUUUUUAGGGAAGUUCUCAUCUCAACAAUUGCUGCAGAGGUCUAAUUCAAUCUUAACAGGCAUGAAAUUCAUAUGACCAGAGACAGAUAUUGUCUGAAUAUGACUCUUCCUUGAGCAGUGAACCAUACAUGCUCAAGAAUUACACCUCUAAUAGUUGAGUAGCUUGCCACAAGGGAUGUUCACUUUUACUCCUGAUCAGCUUUUAAUUUGUCUUCUUCUUAUUAAAUUUCUACAGUUGCAUACUUCUAAAAGACAUCAAAAAUGCAUCAAAGACAUGGCGAGGCGAGGCGAAGCCGCACGGUACGGGGUAAGGAGAACCCGAGCCACACCCAAUCAGAAAUUCUAAGCAUGUACCAGGACGGGGUGAGGUAAAGCCAGUCCAAGUAUGCAUUGGAACGGGGCGAGGCGAAGCCGAGCCAAGUAUGCGUUGGGAAGGGGCGAGGCGAAGCCGGGCCACAACGAAUCAAAAAUCUUAAACGUUGAGGUGGUUUACAGCGAAGCAUGACUGCAUUUUUGGUGAUGACUUGGAUAUACAUGCAUAAGGGUAGUCUAGAUGCUUAUAUCAUAUUCUUUUACAGUGGUUAAUGUUAGUUACAUCCAGCUAAUCUGUUUCUCUUCUCCCGAAUUUGUGUUUGGUUACUCCAAGAAUAUGUAUCGUGAAGCAAGACACCUGAGCGUUAUAGAACCAUUAUAUGAAUAUGGACGGGACGAGGCGAAGCCACAUCUCACCAUACCAAAAAUAUAAUUAUGGGGUUGUUUGGUGGCCAUUAUUUUAAUGGAUUAUCAGCCCAUAGUCCAUUAUGCAGAUUAUAAUGGAUUCUAUAUGCGUUUGGUAACCAUUAUAACAAUUGUUUAUUUUAAUUAUAAUUGAAAAAAUCA